AGGUUCCGUAGGUGAACUGCGGAAGGAUCAUUA
rnacentral:rRNA from 2 species